AAAGUCGUAACAAGGUUUCCGUAGGUGAACCUGCGGAAGGAUCAUUACAAAUCCAUCCACGUCUCAACUCUUGAGACCACGUUGAACUGUUCCCUAGGGCGCGCCUUGCGCAUGCACUAGGCUUGUUAAAACUAGUCCUACAUCUGUUGCUCAACUGUAUCUUUCUUGAUUGUAAUGAUCAAGGCAAACAAAGUACAACUUAUAACAAUGGAUCUCUAGGCUCUU
rnacentral:misc_RNA from 1 species